UACAACUGCGAGAUGGAAAUUAUAAGGUUGGAAAAUUUUCAAGAUAAACAAAAUCUGUGACGUCACAGAUUUGGUUUAUGUCAUAUCAUGGACAGGCAUACAGCGGUAGCGUUGACCAGCCGUAGUUAGCAGGCCUUUGGGCUUGGUCUUUGCCAGCAGUUUAACGUAGCCGAGCUGCCGGCGCCGCAGAUUGAUAUAAUACUUUGCAACGAGUUCGAACAGAAAGCGAUGUGUAACAUGAAUAUGGACCUGCACAAGCUGUAUCGAAGUUGUAAAGAAGUUCUUACGGGAGCUGCUCGAUUCGAUCAUUCCGGUUAUGUUUUACGACAAAUUCGCCGAAGCCUCAAAAAUUACCAGUGAUGCGGUAGCAGUUGAACAGCUCCGGCUGAAUAUUCAGAAUCUGCCAAUUUACUACAACAUGACGCUGAAGUACAUCAUGAUCCAUCUGAUACGAAUAUGCCGAAUGCAGUACCAGCGAGAACUGAAAGAGGAACCGACAAUACUGAUACAAGUGUGGUGACAUGCGACAUGCUAAUGCGUCCUCCUUGGAAGAAAAUUGUGUAAGUAUGCGUGUAAGUAAUGCUUUUUUUUAUUUUUUCUAGUUAAAUCGUGUAUAACACGGAAAACCACUUGCGAAUAAUGGAGCUGUUGCUCUAUAAGCUGGACUGGAAAGAAAAACUACCAGAAUGUCUGUCUGCUCAUGUGGUACCACUACGUAAAAUCUCUCGAAGUGCGGCUAUGCAUCAUAGGUUGCUUAAAAACACCUACAAUCACAUCCCCGGCCUCUGUGAUACAAGCGCCCUUGGUUGGGGUGCAUAUUAAUGCCGGCAGCAAGAAUAGUAACGGAACAUUGGCUGCCGAAAGUCGGGGGACAGCGUUGAUACGAGCAAGACGGGUCUAUGGUACUAGGUGAGGCCGUUUCGUCAUUAAGUUGGUUAGGGGAGCGGUAUAUGAAAACAGUACGGAAGAAAGAAGAAGGAGAAUUAUUAGCUUGAAGCGUGAAAGAGACAGACUGAUCACGAGCGAGCUUAGGCACAAGCGUAUUGUUCUUUGUUUACCAACAAAACACAGUAGACUUCCAAGAUGGCUGCAGAGUGGUUUUAGCAUGUUGGCCCACCUUAGGAUAUACUUCUAGGCGCCUUGGAUACGAGCAGUUGGUGAUGCAAACCCAGCUGAC